GGAUUCGAUUCUCCUGGAAACGGGUGGUAAUGCCGAUGCUCCAGUUGGAUGCAUGUCCUUCUGGGAAAGAUUAUAUCGGUAUGGGAUGGGGUCGCGUCCUAUCAGGUAGUCGGCGGGGUAACGGCCCACCGAGCCUACGACGGGUAGCCGGCCUGAGAGGGCGACCGGCCACAUUGGGACUGAGAUACGGCCCAGACUCCUACGGGAGGCAGCAGUGGGGAAUAUUGCACAAUGGGCGCAAGCCUGAUGCAGCGACGCCGCGUGCGGGAUGACGGCCUUCGGGUUGUAAACCGCUUUUGAUCGGGAGCAAGCCUUCGGGUGAGUGUACCUUUCGAAUAAGCACCGGCUAACUACGUGCCAGCAGCCGCGGUAAUACGUAGGGUGCAAGCGUUAUCCGGAAUUAUUGGGCGUAAAGGGCUCGUAGGCGGUUCGUCGCGUCCGGUGUGAAAGUCCAUCGCUUAACGGUGGAUCCGCGCCGGGUACGGGCGGGCUUGAGUGCGGUAGGGGAGACUGGAAUUCCCGGUGUAACGGUGGAAUGUGUAGAUAUCGGGAAGAACACCAAUCACUAGUG
rnacentral:rRNA from 1 species